rnacentral:rRNA from 1 species
AAUUAAAUUAUUAUUUAAAUUAAAAAUUUAGUUGUUUAUUAAAUUAAGAAAAAUAUUAUUUUAUUAUUUUAUAGAAAAAAUUUAAUUUUAUUAUAGUUUAAAAGUAUUGAAAAAGAAAUUUUUAAUUUUUAAAAAGAAAAAUUUAAUUUUUGUACCUUGUGUAUCAGGGUUUAUUAAAUUAAUAAAAAUAUUUUUAUUUCUCGAAUUUAAAAGAUCUAAUAAAUUAUGAUUAUUAUUGUAAAAUAACUAAAAUUUAAUAUUUAAUUAGUAAUGAAAUGUUUUUCGUUUUUAAAUAUAUCUAGUUUUUUAAGAAAUUAAUUUAAUUAAUUUAUUAUAAAUAUAUUUUUGUUUAAAUAAUUUUAUAUUAAUAAUAAAAAAUAUUUUUAGGGAUUAGCUUAAAAUUUGAUUUUUAUUAAAAAUUUAAAAAAUUAUAAAAUUAGGAUUAAAAAUUUCCAAAUUUUAAAGUAUGUUAUUAUUUAUUAUGGUGUAAUAAAUUUUUUAUUUUUUAUAAAUAUUUUAUUAAAAUAUAAAUUUAAAUUUUAAUGAUUUAGAAAUUAUGAUAGAAUUAGUAAAUUAUGAUGUAAAAUUUUAAUAUUUAUUAGAUUUUAUAAAGGAAUUCGGCAAAUUACUUUUUACCUGUUUAUUAAAAACAUGUCUUUUUGUAAAAAUAUAAAGUCUAACCUGCCCUAUGAAAAUUUAAAUGGCCGCGGUAUAUUAACCGUGCUAAGGUAGCAUAAUCAUUAGUUUUUUAAUUGAAAGCUGGAAUGAAGGGUUGGAUAAAAAAAUAACUGUCUCUAUAAAAAUGAUUGAAUUUUAUUUUUAAGUUAAAAAGCUUAAAUUUUUUCAAAAGACGAGAAGACCCUAUAGAGUUUAAUAUAAAAUAUAAUUGUUUUUUUUAGUAUUUAUUUAAAUAAUUAGAUUUUAUAUUUAGUUGGGGUGAUUGAAAAAUUAAAUAAACUUUUUUUGUAUAAAAAUAUAUUUUUAUAAAUUAUUGAUCCAAAAAUUUUGAUUAUAAGAUAAAAUUACCUUAGGGAUAACAGCGUAACUUUAUUAGAGAGUUCUUAUUGAUAAUAAAGAUUGCGACCUCGAUGUUGGAUUAAAAUUUAUAAAUGGUGCAGAAGCUAUAUUAUUAAGUCUGUUCGACUUUUAAAAUUUUACAUGAUCUGAGUUUAAACCGGUGUAAGCCAGGUUGGUUUCUAUCUUUAAUAAAUUUAUAUAUUUUAGUACGAAAGGACCAAUUAUAUAAAUAAUAUUUUAAAAUUGAAUAAUAAAU